GACGAACGCUGGCGGCGUGCUUAACACAUGCAAGUCGAACGGUAAGGCCCUUCGGGGUACACGAGUGGCGAACGGGUGAGUAACACGUGGGUGAUCUGCCCUGCACUUCGGGAUAAGCCUGGGAAACUGGGUCUAAUACCGGAUAGGACUCCGGACUGCAUGGUCUGGGGUGGAAAGCUUUUCGGUUGGGGAUGGACUCGCGGCCUAUCAGCUUGUUGGUGAGGUAAUGGCUCACCAAGGCGACGACGGGUAGCCGGCCUGAGAGGGCGACCGGCCACACUGGGACUGAGACACGGCCCAGACUCCUACGGGAGGCAGCAGUGGGGAAUAUUGCACAAUGGGCGAAAGCCUGAUGCAGCGACGCCGCGUGAGGGAUGAAGGCCUUCGGGUUGUAAACCUCUUUCAGUAGGGAAGAAGCGCAAGUGACGGUACCUACAGAAGAAGCACCGGCUAACUACGUGCCAGCCGCCGCAGUAA
rnacentral:rRNA from 1 species